rnacentral:rRNA from 1 species
CACGUAGGGCGCGAGCGUUGUCCGGAAUUAUUGGGCGUAAAGCGCUCGUAGGCGGCCUGUUGCGUCCGCUGUGAAAGCCCGGGGCUUAACCCCGGGUCGGCAGUGGAUACGGGCAGGCUAGAGGUAGGUAGGGGAGAAUGGAAUUCCCGGUGUAGCGGUGAAAUGCGCAGAUAUCGGAAGGAACGCCGGUGGCGAAAGCGAUCGACUGGACCUUUUCUGACGCUGAGGCGCGAAAGCCAGGGGAGCAAACGGG